GGAAGAUGAUUUUUCGGAGAAGCUGGUCGGCCAUCUUCUUGGUCCGCUUGCUUUCCGAUGAGAGUCAUUAUUCCUUGUUCCAACAAGGUGUCUCCUGAUGACAUUUGGCUCGGCAAGCACCAAGCAGAGGAGCCUAAGCUCAGUAACAGAAUGAAUCUAGCAAAAAAAUGGUCAUGGGCCCAGCCCUACAUAUAAGCAGACUGUGAGCAGAGAACAAGCCCAGUGACCCUUUAGGCCUCCAGGCGAAAUUCCACCCAUAGUGACUGGAUUCAGACGCCAAGGGCCCCUGGCCUCCCAUAUAGUGGAUGUGCCCCUGAGGUUGUGAUAAAGACAAGAGUCCUGUCUGGGCUCUAAUAGGCCGUGAUGCAUUGGCACACUGGCCAGGAGGACCUGAUGGAGAGGGUGCAGGUCAUUGGUCAGGAGAGAGUGGAGGCCCACCUGGAGGAGAGCUGGAUGAAGACAGAGAGUUUGCAGAGGCGGAAGCCCUGAGAGACCCAGUGGUGGGUGCCUGAACCCUCGAUGGACUCCAGCUCUCUUGACCCCGAGACCCUGCCCCACGUUGGGGUCACCACAGCCCUAGUGACACGGGUGGAUCUGAAGAGGAGUCCCUGAGGGAGCGACUGAUGGUGUGAGAUCACGCCGUAGACACAGAGUCCGGCUCCAGGAGAUAUUUUGUGGUUGGGAGUCAGGGCUUCCUUCCUUGAUGACUGAGGUGUGUGUGAAACCACACAGAUCCCCAUGGCAACAACGACAACAGCAAAACCCAACCCAGCAGACGCCAGAGCAUCUUACAUGGCCUUUCAUACUGUUAAUCACACAGUUUUCCAUGAUGAAGCUCUCAAGAUCCAUAGUCGGCUCUUCUCAUCCCCGAGAGAUCACUCUGCCUGGGAAAGAAAGGAGAGUCUUUCAAAUGCAGGUUACUUUCCAGAGAACAAGUGCAGAGAGUUCUUAAGCACACGUGCUGGUGGUGGAGAACAGAGGCACAGAGGAACGGCAUCUGUGCUGUGGGGAGCAGCACGCUGGCGCUGGUCCCAGGGCAGGGGUUGGUGGGCAACUUCAUUUAGCCUGAGAGGCAGUGGGAAGGGUCCUCCGGGCGGUCAGCCUGCUUCUUCUCUGUCCUCCGCAAGACCUGUGCCCACAGCUGCCAGAGCCCUCAUCACAUCGCUCGCUAUAAAACUGCCAGUUAUCUCUCUCCUCUUCCAGAAUAGCAACCCUCUGAAGGCUAAGGCAUCCCACGUUUAUUGUCAGGCUCACUCUGCACCCGGCACAGUGCCAGGCCUGCUCUGAAUUAACUCACCACGUCCUCACUGUGACCCUCUGGGGCAGUGGUGAGGUAUCCCCACCUUUCAGAUGAAAGAUCCAAACCGUGGAGAUGUUUAUCCAUCAACAGGCAAAGCUGGAAGCUUUGAAUAUUUACGAUUUUGUGGAAGGGUGUCUAAGCAGUGUAGCACUUGAGUGAUUUAAUUUUUGCUGCAGCCAUUUUAUGGAACUACAUAUUAUACAUUAGAGUGUAAAUUACAUACUUUUAACAUUUUUAGUGCUGUGCUGAGUUGUUUACACAGAUCACGUGUACGUAACUUAUGGGUGAUUUAAGGAAUGUUCAGGGCAGUUAGAAACCAAAUGGUCUUUCAGGUUUUGCUUUGAGGUUCUCAAUAAAAUCAACACCACCCAUUUGCCAGAUAUCAAUUUUUAAAUUUUGUUUCCUUUUCUUAAACAAAAGCAAGCACCCUUGAACGUGUACAUCUCUCUUGGGGCAUGUGUGGGAUCCAAUCCUGUAAAUGAACUUGGUGUAUCACAAGACAUGUACAUCUUAAAUAUGGAUAGGUAUUGUCAAACUUACCUCCCCCAAACUCUCCGCCAGUUUAUAUUUGAGCCAGUAGUGUGGGGGAGAACCCACUUUUCAACACGCUAACACUGGGUUUUUAAAGGGGUGUGUGUGUGUUUACCAAACUAACAGAAAGAUACAGUAUCUCGUUGUUGAUUUUUAAUUGAGAUGAAAUUCAUAGGACCAAAGAUUUACGCAUUUUGAAGUGUACUGUUCAGUGGCAUUUUGUCCAUUCGUGAUGUUUGCUUCCACCACCUCUGUCCACUCCUGAGUCUUUUCAUUCUCCCCAAAGGAAACCUGGUAACCCUCAAGCAGUCAUGUCCUCUCCGUCCUCCCCCCAGCCCCUGGCAUCCACUGAUCUGUUGGAAUCUCCUUGGAUUUACCUGUUAAUGGAUAUUUCACAUACACGGAAUCAUACAAUAUGUGACUUUCUGCAUCAGUAUCUUCUUUUACUUAGCACAGUGUCAUCAAGGUUCAUUAAUGUUGUAGCAGCCACGAGUACCCAUCCCUCUUUAUGUCUGCAUGUUAUUCCAUCAUCUAAACGCACGACAGUUUCUUAGUCCAUUCAUCCCACGUUGGGUGUUUGGGUUGUUUCCAUCGUCUGACCGGUGUGAACAGCUCUGAUAUGACUGUUGUCUACAGUAUCUGUCUGAGUACCUGUUUUCAGUUCUUUGGGGUUUGUGUUGUCACGUGGCAAUUCUGUGCUUAACCUUCUGAUGAGACCGUUUUCCGUUCCCACCAUGGCUGUAAGGUAGAGUCCAUUUCUCCUUACCCUCCGCUUUUCUAUUUUUCUGCUUGUUUGUUUUGUGUUCCUUUAGAUCUAAUUAUAUGCAUCCUGCUGAAUAUGAUGCAGCAUUUCAUUGUGGUUUUGGUUAGCAUUUAUUUAAUGCUUUAUAUGUGGAGCAUCUUUUUUAUGUGCUUGUUGGCUAUUUAUAUGGCUUUUUUGGUGAAAUGUCGGUUUGAGUUCUUUGCCCGUUUUUAAAAUGAGUUGCUUGUCCUUUUGUUGCUGAGUUGUAAGAGUUCCUUAUAUAUUUUGGAGUCUAGAUCUUUAUCUGAUAAAUAGUUUGCGAAUAUUUCCUCCUGUUCUUUAGAUUUCACUUACUUGAUAAUAUCAUUUGCUACAAAAGGUAUUGCCUUAUUUUAUUUAAAAGUUGUUGUUUUAAUUUAUAGCGUCCCAGUUGCUAAAGAGCUCUAUCAUCUUUUCAAUGUAUGUUAUCCUACUGUAUUUAUUUUUCUAUGAAAUCCAUGUUCAGAGCAUUUAUUUACUUUUCUAAACUGUUUUCUUCUAACAUAAUCAUAAGAGUUACUUUUAUACCCUGGGUACUAAUAUCUUUAAUAUUUUCCUUCUGUUGCUUCUCUUUUAAUUUGUAGGUAAUAACAUUUUUCAGAUAAAAGUUACU
rnacentral:lncRNA from 1 species